rnacentral:rRNA from 1 species
UACGUAGGGUGCAAGCGUUGUCCGGAAUCAUUGGGCGUAAAGCGCACGUAGGCGGUUCGUUAUGUCGGAUGUGAAAGCCCUUGGCUUAACCGAGGAAGUGCAUCCGAAACUGGCGAGCUAGAGUACGAAAGAGGAUCGCGGAAUUCCCGGUGUAGAGGUGAAAUUCGUAGAUAUCGGGAGGAACACCGGUGGCGAAGGCGGGUCUCUGGGCCGAUACUGACGCUGAGGAGCGAAAGCGUGGGGAGCGAACAGG